CAGCUUCUACACAUACAUGACAACACAAGAGAAGCAAACAACAACCGCUCCAGGACCAACAACCUCGAGGAAAGCGUGAACGAUCCAGAACUCCAUUAACACUCACAGCUGCUCCAUCUUGUCUCCUUGGCGUCGGGCGUACGGGCUCCUCUGAAGUUCCACGAUCUCCGAGUGCAGAGCCAUGAUCUCAUCAUCCAAGUGGCUCACCUCUGCCACCUGCAGGACAGAAACAGGAACAGGUGGUCACUGUCAGGCUUUGCACUGAGAAAACACCAGAGGACCAUUUGAAUGCUCUACACACGCGUGUUGUGUUUAGUCAGCUUUCAUCACCUGUGCAAAGGCAGCAGCUCUCUCCUCGUUCUCCUGCCAGGCCUUCAGCAUCUUCUCAGAGGCUUCGAGACGAACACAGGACAAAUCAUCAGAUCAAGAAAGGUCCCGCUCACAGUAAGAACAUCCUGAACCUGAACUCAGAGUAAAAGCAAAGCUGCCAGUCAACACUCACAUAUGCCGUAGUGCAUCUGAUCGCUGUAUUUCUCCAGGUCGUACUGGAUGCUGCUCUUGAAGAAAUCUAACUUGGCUUUCAGCUGCUGAGAGAAGCCGAACAUGCUGUUCUUACAGCGGGUCAGGUUGGUGUUGUAGCGCAGGAGGCUCAGCCUGGAGGGAGGAGGAGGAGGAGGAGGAGGAGGAGGAGGAGGAGGAGGAGGAGACAGUUAACAGUGUAGGUAUUUGUAUGAUGAUAUGUUCUGUUAUUUCUGUUUCUGGGAUUCAGGGAACAACAGAAACAGAAAUCUUUCUUCAAGCCGACAGUUAUUAAUGUAAAACAGGUCAUUUUAAAAACACGGAGGAACAUCUGAGAAAAACCAAUAAGCUAAAUGAAGAGCUCUGUCGGUCAUGUGACUCACAUUGCCGCCCUCUGUCCUUGAAAGAGUCGGCUGUAGUCGUCCUUCAGGCCACAGAUGUAGCUCACGGCUUCUCCCCAAACCUUCUUCAGCGCCGCCAGGGGCAGCUGCGUCUUGGCCUCUUGAACUGAGAAGGUUCAAACCAAAGUAAGAACGUUGAUCUGUUUCUUUCCUCUGGUUCGUUAUGAAGGUUUUUGUAACAAGUUAAAGAAGCAAAGUCUGAGGUUUCCCCACUUAGAACUGAACCACACACUCACCGAUGGUGCUGACUUUGUCGGGCAGCUGUCUGGCACUGAGGGGCCCGGAGUACUUGGUGAUGCUCUUGUCGAACAGGUAGACGAUGUAGCUGUCCCAGCCUCUCUACACAGCAGAGCAGGAGAUCAUCAGUUACUGCAAACACCUCAUUACCCAGUGGCUCCCUGAAGUCCCUCAGCGCACACGCAGCCAGUGUGAAUCAUAAGAAGUGCACACGCAGCUUCUCCUGCUUCCUGUUCUAAAGCCCUGAGACAAGUCACUUAAAGAGCUCGUAAAUGCUCCAGAGGGAGAGAAGAACUUCUGAAGAACUUUAUACUUUUUACUCUAUUAGAGCUCGAGAUGGUUGGAUCCUAUUUUUUCUGAUCACGGCUCCAGACUAACUUUUAAUUAUUACAUGUUUAUACCGUUUCUUGACAUUUCCCAUACACACUGGUCAUUUCUUAACGAGGGUUUGAUUCCAGUGGUUUGACUCCAGUUAGAUUCUCAGAGAACUGAAGCUGUAAACUGAACCAGGAAACCUCUGAACCAACGCAGGGUUACAACUACAACCUGAUGAAACUGAGGUCUUGCAUGUGGUUCACGUUGCCUUUUGACUUGUGGGACUUUCCAGUGUGAAAUAUGUCAAUGUGAACGCUACACAACCAGAAAUCACUUCUUCUUAACCGAGCUAGAACAGAUUUUGCAACUGCAGACUUGUUGUGUAUAACAGACAUUUCCACUAGUAUCAGAACAUCUCUGAAUAAAUCUGGAGACAGUGUCAGUGGGUUUCAAAGUGAUCAUUCUUCAACCCACCACUCCAUCCAGGACGCACUGCGCCGCCGGCUUCCUGGGGUCCAGUGACACGCCCGUCUCCUGCAGCAGCUCCUGGUUCACCACCUCGAUCUUGGUCUCGGCCUCGAUGCGUUUCUGCAGGCUGUGGAGUGACUCGUCUGGAGUCAGCUGGAAAGAGUGGACCUGAGCGGUGGUCAUGUUCAGGAUGUGGACGACCUGAGGGGACAGACAGGGAGAGGAAAGAUGAGCCGAGCAUUUACAUUCUCAAACUAGAAGGACUUCAGAUCCAGGGCACCACUGACUCAAGUCUGUGAAAACUCACCUUGGUGCUCAGUAUCUGCUCCAGAACUUCGAAGCACAUGGGUUUCUUGGUGUCGGGAUUCACUUUGCCUCCUCUGUGGAGAGGAUCCCACUUCAACAUCAGCUGGAGCAGAGACUCCAUCGGCUCCAACAUGGUCCUGUGAGACAGCAGAUUAAUGACGUGUACCAGGAGAGAGAGGAGCAGCAAACAGCAGACACCUCUUUCCUCUGAGGGAUCGUAACAGUCACAGUGUUCCAACCUGCUCAGGUUGUUGGGGUAGGGGAGGUGAGUGGAGAAUCGGACUUCUCCGCUCACGUCUUCCACCGCCAUGAUGUCUUUAGGACCUUUGUUCCGCACUUUGGUCGCCCUGUGAAUGAAAAGAGACGAGUAGAGCAGAAAUCACUCAUCGUGAAAUCGAUCUACAGAAGAAUCUAUCAGCGAGCAGUUUGACCAUCAAUAGAAAUCCUGUUGUCAAGCUAAAGUUUAUUCCAACCGAAUAAAAUGUGUGAAAUGUCUUGAAUUUA